UGGGGAAUUUUGGACAAUGGGCGCAAGCCUGAUCCAGCAAUGCCGCGUGAGUGAAGAAGGCCUUCGGGUUGUAAAGCUCUUUCAGUCGAGAAGAAAAAGCUGCAGUGAAUAACUGUAGUUUAUGACGGUAUCGACAGAAGAAGCACCGGCUAACUACGUG
rnacentral:rRNA from 1 species